AGUUACUCCAAUAUAUUAUUUAUAGCUUCAAUGAAGGAUCAUGGCAAGAAACUGACUUGCACUGUAACAAUGCCUAGUGGAGAAACCCGCCAAACUUCCAUUGUUUUACAGGUUCAAAGAUAUGUACCCAAAGUGGUGGAUCCAUUUGAGAAUGACACUAUCCACAUUUUACAGGCAAAUGUGGUACCCAGGAUCAGUGCUUUGACCAAGUCCUGUGUGGUGAUACCUUGUACAUUCCAAUCAGGUGACAUGCCUAUUAUGCGUCUU